UCCUCAUUUAAUUAUAUGAGGUAUGACCUGCUCAAUGCGAAUUUGUAAAUAGCCGCAGUACUCUGACUGUGCAAAGGUAGCAUAAUAAAUUGGCCUUUAAUUGAGGUCUGGAAUGAACGGUUUGACAAGGAUUUGACUGUCUUGAGAUAAAAUUUUUUGAAAUUUAAUUGUUUGUAAAAAUGCAAACAUAUGAAAGAGGGACGAGAAGACCCUAUAGAUCUUAAAAGUGGUUAGUUCAAAUUUAUGAGUUAGUCUUUUUUUAUUUGGGGAAAAUCCUGAAAUAAGGUUUUUUAAACUUCGGUUAAUUUGAAUUAAAAAUUGGAUGAUUGAAAUUCGAUCCACAGUUGGUGAAAAAAUGAAAAAGUUACCUUAGGGAUAACAGGACAAUGAUCUUUUAUAAGAGACCUUAUCUUAAAGGACGUUUGUUACCUCGAUGUUGAAUUAAGUUAUCUUACCAAAGGAGAAAUUUUUAAAGUUGGUCUGUUCGACCAUUGAAAAC
rnacentral:rRNA from 1 species